AUGGACAUUGAGGAAGCUGAAAUCCAGCAACGUGCGCUGGAGACACAGUUGAAGGUUAUGGGUAUGACAUUUGCAUCACAAUGGGAGGCUCACAUGUUCUAUAAUAACUACGCCAAAGACCGUGGAUUCAGUAUCAGAAAAGAUAAGGUGAAACGAGGAAAAGGACUUUCAACCACUGUUCGGUAUAGGAGAUACGUUUGCUCGAGGGCAGGAAAACGUCUCAGUAAAUUUUUAAACCCGGAGGGCCGUACACGCAGGCUAAGACUAGAGACUCGUUGCGAGUGUGGCGCACAUUUAGUCGUGAAGUUUUACAAAGGACGUGGAGUUUGGUUCGUGGCAGCUUUUAUGGAUGAUCACAAUGGCUAG
rnacentral:rRNA from 1 species